AAAAAAGAUAACCAGCAUCUAACUCUUACUAGUUUUUUUACCUGCCCACCAGUCAUUUUUUCAAUAGUUCCCUACCUAAAGGUAAACCAACUUAUAACUUUUAUACUGCAAUAUAUACAAUCUAUUCCACAGCUUCUACAAUU